rnacentral:rRNA from 1 species
GCAGUCGAACGGCAGCGGGGGAGAAGCUUGCUUUUCCUGCCGGCGAGUGGCGAACGGGUGAGUAAUACAUCGGAACGUGCCCUGUAGUGGGGGAUAACUAGUCGAAAGAUUAGCUAAUACCGCAUACGACCUGAGGGUGAAAGUGGGGGACCGCAAGGCCUCAUGCUAUAGGAGCGGCCGAUGUCUGAUUAGCUAGUUGGUGGGGUAAAGGCCUACCAAGGCGACGAUCAGUAGCUGGUCUGAGAGGACGAUCAGCCACACUGGGACUGAGACACGGCCCAGACUCCUACGGGAGGCAGCAGUGGGGAAUUUUGGACAAUGGGCGAAAGCCUGAUCCAGCAAUGCCGCGUGUGUGAAGAAGGCCUUCGGGUUGUAAAGCACUUUUGUCCGGAAAGAAAUGGCUCUGGUUAAUACCUGGGGUCGAUGACGGUACCGGAAGAAUAAGGACCGGCUAACUACGUGCCAGCAGCCGCGGUAAUACGUAGGGUCCAAGCGUUAAUCGGAAUUACUGGGCGUAAAGCGUGCGCAGGCGGUUGUGCAAGACCGAUGUGAAAUCCCCGAGCUUAACUUGGGAAUUGCAUUGGUGACUGCACGGCUAGAGUGUGUCAGAGGGGGGUAGAAUUCCACGUGUAGCAGUGAAAUGCGUAGAGAUGUGGAGGAAUACCGAUGGCGAAGGCAGCCCCCUGGGAUAACACUGACGCUCAUGCACGAAAGCGUGGG